GCUGGGCAUGGUGGCUCAUACCUGUAAUCCCAGCUCUUUUGGGAGGCUGAGGUGGGUGGAUCACCUGAGGUCAGGAGUUCAAGACCAGCCUGACCAACAUGGUGAAACCCCAUCUCUA
ensembl:misc_RNA Metazoa_SRP Metazoan signal recognition particle RNA